rnacentral:rRNA from 1 species
UUGGGCCUACGGGACGCAGCAGUGGGGAAUAUUGCACAAUGGGGGGAACCCUGAUGCAGCAAUGCCGCGUGAAGGAAGAAGGCUUUCGGGUUGUAAACUUCUUUUGUCAGGGACGAAGCAAGUGACGGUACCUGACGAAUAAGCCACGGCUAACUACGUGCCAGCAGCCGCGGUAAUACGUAGGUGGCAAGCGUUAUCCGGAUUUACUGGGUGUAAAGGGCGUGUAGGCGGGGAAGCAAGUCAGAUGUGAAAA